rnacentral:rRNA from 1 species
UACGAAGGGGGCUAGCGUUGUUCGGAAUUACUGGGCGUAAAGCGCGCGCAGGCGGCUAUCCAAGUCAGUGGUGAAAGCCCGGAGCUCAACUCCGGAACUGCCAUUGAAACUGUUUAGCUUGAGGAUGAGAGAGGUGAGUGGAAUUCCCAGUGUAGAGGUGAAAUGCGUAGAUAUCAAGAGGAACACCUGAGGUGAAGACGGGUUGCUGGGCCGACACUGACGCUGAUGCGCGAAAGCCAGGGGAGCAAACAGG